AUGGCGCGCUCCAAGUACACCGUGGCCGUGCUCCUCGCCCUGCUGGCCAUCGUCGCGACGCUGCAGCCGUCCGAGGCGAGGGUCCAGCCCGCCGCCGCCGCAAACCAAGAAGAAGCCACAGCCACCACCACGGCCGAUGGAGGCUCGCCAUCUCUUCCCGGCCUGCCGCUGCCUCAGAUCCCCGGCAUGCCUAGCCUACCACCGAUAUUCCGCUCCCUUUUCCCGCCACUGCCCCAGAUCCCCGGCUUGCCGCCGCUGUUCGGGCCGCUCCCUGGUGGUGCACCGGGCACCCCUCCAUCUCAUGCACCGCCGAGCCUCCCACACCUCCCGCUUCCCACCGGCUCGCCAAGCCCGCCGCCGCCGAAGGAGUGCCUGACACCAUUGACGGCCAUGAUACCGUGCAUGGACUACCUCACCAACAUCACGGUGUUCUCGCCACCGGACGCGUGCUGCGACGGCCUCAAGUCGGUCGUCAGCACCGCGCCGAUCUGCCUCUGCCACGGCCUGAACAACAACGGCAGCAUGAGCAAGCUCUUCCCCAAGCCCAUAGAUCCGAUCCGCAUGAUCAUCCUCCCGCUUAGGUGUGGCGCCAUGAUACCCAUCCAGACGAUCUUCUCCUGUGGCAGUAAGUUACUAACCUUGUUCUGUGUGUUUUUCUGUGUAUAUAUGUGUUGCUUCUUUGAAAGAGAUUGA
rnacentral:rRNA from 1 species